rnacentral:rRNA from 1 species
AUUGAACGCUGGCGGCAUGCUUUACACAUGCAAGUCGAACGGUAACAGGCCGCAAGGUGCUGACGAGUGGCGAACGGGUGAGUAAUGCAUCGGAACGUGCCCAGUCGUGGGGGAUAACUACUCGAAAGAGUAGCUAAUACCGCAUACGAUCUAUGGAUGAAAGCAGGGGACCGUAAGGCCUCGCGCGAUUGGAGCGGCCGAUGUCAGAUUAGGUAGUUGGUGGGGUAAAGGCUCACCAAGCCAACGAUCUGUAGCUGGUCUGAGAGGACGACCAGCCACACUGGGACUGAGACACGGCCCAGACUCCUACGGGAGGCAGCAGUGGGGAAUUUUGGACAAUGGGCGCAAGCCUGAUCCAGCAAUGCCGCGUGCAGGAAGAAGGCCUUCGGGUUGUAAACUGCUUUUGUACGGAACGAAACGGCUCUGGUUAAUACCCGGGGCUAAUGACGGUACCGUAAGAAUAAGCACCGGCUAACUACGUG